rnacentral:rRNA from 1 species
UGGGGAAUAUUGCACAAUGGGCGCAAGCCUGAUGCAGCCAUGCCGCGUGUGUGAAGAAGGCCUCGGGUUGUAAAGCACUUCAGCGAGGAGGAAGGUGGUGAACUUAAUACGUUCAUCAAUUGACGUUACUCGCAGAAGAAGCACCGGCUAACUCCGUGCCAGCAGCCGCGGUAAUACGGAGGGUGCAAGCGUUAAUCGGAAUUACUGGGCGUAAAGCGCACGCAGGCGGUUUGUUAAGUCAGAUGUGAAAUCCCCGGGCUCAACCUGGGGACUGCAUUUGAAACUGGCAAGCUAGAGUCUCGUAGAGGGGGGUAGAAUUCCAGGUGUAGCGGUGAAAUGCGUAGAGAUCUGGAGGAAUACCGGUGGCGAAGGCGGCCCCCUGGACGAAGACUGACGCUCAGGUGCGAAAGGCGUGGGGCAGCAAACAGGAUUAGAUACCCUGGUAGUCCACGCUGUAAACGAUGUCGAUUUUGGAGGUUGUG